UCGGAGUUCAGUCUUCCCAGGCCCACCACUUUCAUCGAGUGAGCAUUCGUCUUCUGGUUACGGGGCCAUAGCUCAGCUGGGAGAGCGCGUGCUUUGCAAGCAUGAGGUCGUCGGUUCGAUCCCGUCUGGCUCCACCAGAUGGUUUGAUCACCGAGAUCUUGUACCGUCGUCCGCGAAACAUCACUUCGCAUCCUGCUAGUCUGGAUAGACAGCAAGAUGCGUGUUUUCUGACAUCGUAAAGAGGAGAUCGAUCCGAGUUGGGUCGUGCAGCGGAUUGUUGCGCGAAUCCUUCAUUAUCUCCGGAUCAUUUUCGGCGCUCGCUUUCAGCCGUGAGGUUGAAUGCGAGUUGUAAAAUGAUCCUUUUAGCGAAGCUUGACCGCCUCGCUAUCGGAACGAUCUUACGAAGCAAGCUGGUCUUUCUAGUCAAUGUCCGGCUGUGCGUAGCGUUCAUCGAGGGCGCGUGCCGUAAGGCAAUCGUACAGACAACAUUCUGCCGAGUGUGUGGACAUUGAUAAUGAGAGCAAUCAAGUGCCUUAAGGGUGUUCGGUGGAUGCCUUGGCGCUGAGAGGCGAUGAAGGACGUGCUACGCUGCGAUAAGCCGUGGGGAGCUGCGAAGAAGCUUUGAUCCGCGGAUUUCCGAUG
rnacentral:misc_RNA from 1 species